rnacentral:tRNA from 1 species
GGCCAGUUAGCUCAGUCAGUUGAGCGUAGCGCUAACAACGCUAACGUUGUGGGUUCAAUUCCUGUUCGGUCCC